rnacentral:rRNA from 1 species
GGAGCCGUAGCGAAAGCGAGUUUUAACUGAGCGUUCAGUUACUUGACGUAGACCCGAAACCGGGCGACCUACCCAUGAGCAGGAUGAAGCGAAAGUAAAAUUUCGUGGAGGUCCGAACCCACGAGCGUUGAAAAGCUCGGGGAUGACUUGUGGGUAGCGGUGAAAUUCCAAUCGAGCCCGGAGAUAGCUGGUUCUCCCCGAAAUAGCUUUAGGGCUAGCCUCAAGGUGAGAGAUACGGAGGUAGAGCACUGAAUGUCCUAGGGGGUAUUGCACCUACCGAAGACUAUCAAACUCCGAAUGCCGUCAUCUUAUACUUGGGAGUCAGACUGUGGGUGAUAAGAUUCAUAGUCGAAAGGGCAACAGCCCAGAUCGUCAGCUAAGGUCCCUAAAUGUAAGUUAAGUGGUAAAGGAUGUGGGAUUGCACAGACAACCAGGAUGUUGGCUUAGAAGCAGCCACUCAUUCAAAGAGUGCGUAAUAGCUCACUGGUCGAGUGAUCCUGCGCCGAAGAUUUCCGGGGCUAAAACUUACUACCGAAGCUACGGCAUCAGUAAUGAUGGGUAGGGGAGCUUCCCAUACGGGUU